rnacentral:rRNA from 1 species
GAUGAACGCUGGCGGCGUGCCUAACACAUGCAAGUCGAGCGAUUCUCUUCGGAGAAGAGCGGCGGACGGGUGAGUAACGCGUGGGUAACCUGCCCUGUACACACGGAUAUCAUACCGAAAGGUAUGCUAAUACGAGAUAAUAUGCUUUUAUCGCAUGGUAGAAGUAUCAAAGCUUUUGCGGCACAGGAUGGACCCGCGUCUGAUUAGCUAGUUGGUAAGGUAACGGCUUACCAAGGCGACGAUCAGUAGCCGACCUGAGAGGGUGAUCGGCCACAUUGGAACUGAGACACGGUCCAAACUCCUACGGGAGGCAGCAGUGGGGAAUAUUGCACAAUGGGCGAAAGCCUGAUGCAGCAACGCCGCGUGAGCGAUGAAGGCCUUCGGGUCGUAAAGCUCUGUCCUCAAGGAAGAUAAUGACGGUACUUGAGGAGGAAGCCCCGGCUAACUACGUGCCAGCCGCCGCUGUAACAC